AAAACGUGGCGGAGUUAUUAAUAAACGAGUGUUUUAGCAGAUAUUUAGGCUUUCAACUCGACAGUCUGUUAAUAGAUAUCGACUCUACACUCCUGUUUGCAGCUACUGUGAUAAUUUCAGACCGGAAUUCACUGUACAGCAGGUGGAAAGUCAUAUGUAAUUCUCGCUAACGCAUUAGCAUUCAUUAGCACAGUGGAUGGACAUUGAGUACUGUGAGCUAACUCAGCUAACAGAAGACUUAACUAAAGUUUCCGCCGUGGGAGCGUUCCAGAGUUGAGCUUAGUGCAGAGAGAUGAACCUACACUGAGAGUUUUGCGACUGCUGGAGGACUGUUUUCUGAAUCCUGUGGACCGAGGGACUGGUGAAGGAGCUGAAGACAUCUUGCCAACUGGGACUAAGGACAGGCGUUGUAGACGGACACGGAGCUCCAUCGGAUGGUGAUAAAUGUGGAAUCCAGCACAAACAGUUUGAACCAGUCAGGCCGUGAUUGAUCAGCGCCCUCUGGGAUGUCAGUUUUCCCACCUCUUCAUCAUCCUCAAUCGUUUUCUCAAAGCAUUUGCUCCGGAGAUUUACACUUGCAG